GACGAACGCUGGCGGCGUGCCUAAUACAUGCAAGUCGAACGAGAGCACCCGGUGCUUGCCCUGGUCAAUCUAGUGGCGAACGGGUGAGUAACACGUGGGUAACCUGCCCAUCAGAGGGGGAUAACAUCCGGAAACGGAUGCUAAAACCGCAUAGGUCUUCGAACCGCAUGGUUUGAAGAGGAAAAGAGGCGCAAGCUUCUGCUGAUGGAUGGACCCGCGGUGCAUUAGCUAGUUGGUGAGGUAACGGCUCACCAAGGCCGUGAUGCAUAGCCGACCUGAGAGGGUGAUCGGCCACAUUGGGACUGAGACACGGCCCAAACUCCUACAGGAGGCAGCAGUAGGGAAUCUUCCGCAAUGGACGCAAGUCUGACGGAGCAACGCCGCGUGAGUGAAGAAGGUUUUCGGAUCGUAAAACUCUGUUGUUAGGGAAGAACAAGUGCUAGAGUAACUGUUAGCGCCUUGACGGUAUCUAACCAGAAAGCCACGGCUAACUACGUG
rnacentral:rRNA from 1 species